AUGAAGGUUCUGAGUUGGAAUUGCAAUGGUCUCGGGAAUGAACCGGCAAUCCGUGCUUUGCUCAAUGUCCAACGAAAGUCAAAUCCUGGUGUGAUGUUUUUGUCGGAGACUCACCUAGAAAGCUAUCCGGCUGAAUGUUUACGUCGCCGCCUUAAGAUGGACCAAAAAUUUGUGUGCCAUGGCGAUGGGAGGAAGGGAGGUCUUAUUCUAUUU
rnacentral:rRNA from 1 species